GGCCAUUCUCCCAUCUAUCUUUGCUUUUCUUUAUAUCUGUUCGUUCUUCUUCUUCAUCCCCCCAUCUCUUUCCUUCACCUUCUAUUUUUGGGUUUAGCAUUGUCCAUUAGCCUUAAAAUGGAUAGACCGAAAAAAGAGAUAGUAGUGAGAGAGCCUUCCGAUUCUCCCUCGAGAGAUGAUCUUGGGGAUACUAGUGUCGGGCAUGAGGGUGAGAACUUCAUGCCCGAUAGAUUUUGCUCCACAAUAGACUUAGAGGAUCUUAGU
rnacentral:lncRNA from 1 species